rnacentral:lncRNA from 1 species
GUUCAAAGGAAAAGGCAGAUAGGCUGCUCUAGAAGUGGGUCUCUGAAAGCUGUCAGGGCCACGCUGAUCUCAGGUGGUUGCCUGCCUGGGCUGAUGAGCAUCGGGCUCCUGGGCUGGGACCCGAGCUGUUCCAGCAGAGGCCACCUGGCAAUUAGCGGGGAAGCAAGAUCUUUCCCUGGCUCCUAGCUGCACCUGUGGUUACUCUGCUGAGUGCCAUGACUGUAUUUAAAGCAGCCCCACAGAGAGGCCUAUUUUCAUUUGGUUUGUCUUAGCUUGGUUUGAGCAUCUCCCUGCUUGGUGUCCUGUGGUUUUAGCUGGUUUCUCCCUCCCUUUGUGUCACUGGUGCAAGGAGACUGAACUACUUGCAUGCCUACUCAGAAAGCGCAAAAUAGGAACAGAUGCUGCUUGUAUCAGAAAGCGACCUGGGAGGCCAGAGGUAUGUCAGACUUCUGAUGGAAUGACAGCCAAAGUAACAGUGCUUGAGGAUACUGGGGGAGCUGCCCUGUGGUAUGGCACAUCUGCAAAGUAAAAACUUGCAAAGGAUGCUGGUUUUUGUAUGUGAUAAUGAACAGCUGGGUAAGUGGCAGAAUUUGUCUGUUACCUUAUGGAAGUAAACUUGUUUAUUCCUUGGUCCCCUUACUUCUGCUUUGUUGAAGGACUUCCAGAAAUGCUAGUUAACCUCGUGAGAGCCCUUGUGUCAACUUUGAGCAUUGUCUCUGGCCCUAAAUUCUUACAAAGUACCUAAAUUUUUGCUGUCAUGAGUUAACAGAACUCUACAGCAUACAUUAAUGCCAUGGUGAUUUUUAUCAGCAAAAUACCUGGCAUAAUUAUCUUAGCAGAGUGAGUGUGGUCAAGUGGUGUAAUGUAAUCCAACACUACCUAAAGAAUGCAUGUGACAGCUUUGUUUUGCAAGAAGGGAGGAGAAGGGCUUGUUGGAAGGAGAGCUCAAAUGCUCUUUAAUUCAAGGAACUAGCAUCUGACCCUAAUUAUGUAGUGAAAACAGAGGUAGUGCAAGCACCAGAAAGUGGACAAGUCUGCAACAGGAACAAAAGCAUCAACUGCUGUUGAGGUCUUUGCAAAGAUCCUCUGAGAGGGGGAGAGAGGG